AAUGAAGUGCCUGAUUAAAGGACUAUUUUGAUAGAAUAGAUUAUGUAAGAUUUACCUUCAUUA
rnacentral:tRNA from 1 species